rnacentral:rRNA from 1 species
UACGGAGGGUGCAAGCGUUACUCGGAAUUACUGGGCGUAAAGCGUGCGCAGGCGGUUUUGUAAGCCAGGUGUGAAAUCCCCGGGCUCAACCUGGGAAUGGCAUUUGGGACUGCAAGGCUGGAGUGCGGCAGAGGAGACUGGAAUUCCUGGUGUAGCAGUGAAAUGCGUAGAUAUCAGGAGGAACACCGAUGGCGAAGGCAGGUCUCUGGGCUGACACUGACGCUCAUGCACGAAAGCGUGGGGAGCAAACAGG